AAGUGGCCCAAUUCUACCGGUCGAAUAGCUGCAGCGAUCCGGUUUAUUAACGAGCGAGAACAGCUGAGUGAAACGUCUUUCAACAAGUAGAGGGCCUGACUAUUAGGUCUACCUCACGUAAGAAACACCUACCUGGAGAUUCCACCAGAGAGAGACAGGACAUGAACACGAGAGAGUGAACCAACUUCGUUAUGGUCGCUGGAAAACGAAGAGACAUGUGACCUUCGUGAUUUCCUGUGUUUGGUCAGGAUGUGGUAGACUACCUAGUCAGACUUGACAGAGGAAGAUUGACAACAUCGACACAAGAUGGAGAGCACGUCCCUCUGCCUGAUGCUCUGUUUGACCUCCUCUGCAGCCGCACUGAGCAUCACUCCCAACAGAUCUCAGUUCUUUCAGCAUGAGUACAUCUCUCUGAUGUGUGCACCACCGGCAGACUCCAGCGGCUGGACAGUGAGAAGAAACACUUCCUUUAGCACGUCUGAACCAUGUGAGGAGGGAUGGGGGAUCCCAGGUGAGUCCUCCUGCACCAUAAAAUAUGCUGACCCAUCAGACAC